rnacentral:rRNA from 1 species
AUUGAACGCUGGCGGCAGGCCUAACACAUGCAAGUCGAGCGGAUGAAGGGAGCUUGCUCCUGGAUUCAGCGGCGGACGGGUGAGUAAUGCCUAGGAAUCAGCCUGGUAGUGGGGGAUAACGUCCGGAAACGGGCGCUAAUACCGCAUACGUCCUGAGGGAGAAAGUGGGGGAUCUUCGGACCUCACGCUAUCAGAUGAGCCUAGGUCGGAUUAGCUAGUUGGUGGGGUAAAGGCCUACCAAGGCGACGAUCCGUAACUGGUCUGAGAGGAUGAUCAGUCACACUGGAACUGAGACACGGUCCAGACUCCUACGGGAGGCAGCAGUGGGGAAUAUUGGACAAUGGGCGAAAGCCUGAUCCAGCCAUGCCGCGUGUGUGAAGAAGGUCUUCGGAUUGUAAAGCACUUUAAGUUGGGAGGAAGGGCAGUAAGUUAAUACCUGGCUGUUUUGACGUUACCAACAGAAUAAGCACCGGCUAACUUCGU